rnacentral:lncRNA from 1 species
GAUGUGGGUAAGAGAAAGGAAUCAAUUAACUUAAACCAAAGUUUCAUUUAUAGUAAAAGAAGUCCAAUGAGAGUUAUGUAGUGCUCUUAAUUGUUGGUUUCUGGUUUUAUUGUCAUAGUAGCGUGUAAUAUAAUGAUAUUGUAAAUAGCUUGAAAUAGUCAAUAAAUUAAGUAGCAUACUAAUAAAUUUGAAAGAGUCCAAAACUUAAAUGACAAAUUCAAUGGUAGAUAAAUUUAGGACUCUAUUUUAAUAGAGUAAAUUGGUCAAAUCAGAACUAAUUGAUUCUUUUUCGUCUAUCGGUUAGCCGGCUGGAAAUUUUGUACUCAGAGUUACGGAUAAAGUGGACUACCCUGUAUAAAGAUAAAGUGGAUUACCCUGUAUGACUCUAUCACGAUGUCGAAUGUUUGUUUGGUCUUGACUUAACAGUUUGUUUGCAUUAAAUUUUAUAACGGAUAAGA